rnacentral:lncRNA from 1 species
AAUUACAAAAAUAGUUCAUGUAGUUCUGUUCAUUUUCACUAAAGUUCAGAUAAAUUUGAUUUUAACUAUUUUAUCCCUAUAGUUGUGUAAUGUUCGAAGAAAAUUUUAAUUCAUAUCAGUUCCAUUCUCUUGACCUCUGGGGUCCAAGAGACUCGUGGUUAUUCACUUUUAGAUUUAAUCCAAAGGUUAAGAAAAAUUUACUUUAAAAUAUCUUUUUUCUUUUACCUUUUAAAUUUCACUUAACAAAAAAAGAAAAAACUAAAAACUAAAAACCCAAAAUCUGUUCUUCUUCCUCCCGCUGCCCCCACAUUCUGCUUCCUCCCAUUGUUGCAGCAACAACAACUCCGACUCCGGCGUAGCCAACGAAAAUCCAGAGCGACUUAUUCCCUCGCACUUCAACAAGGUCAGUUUCUUGUUCUUAUUCAAAUUUUCACUCAAUUUUCGGAUUUGAAAUCAUGAACCCAUAUAUGGGAAUUUCAAUUGAGUUUGUGUUAUUUUUUAUUUUGAAACCAUGUAACUUUUCCUUAUACGCAUAUGAACUAAUAUCAGGCUCUAGUGGAGUAUGAUACUGUAAAUUUGAUUUUAACUAUUUUAUCCCUAUAGUUGUGUAAUGUUCGAAGAAAAUUUUAAUUCAUAUAUGUGAAUUGCGUACAUGUUAUUUGAGGAAUAAAAGUUUAUGGGGAGGAAAGGCUACCUAUUCCAAGGUCAGGGCAUACCAAGUUUUCUUUGAGGACUUACAGAGAGGAUCUUAGUCAAUUUUUUUAGUUUUUAUAGAUUACUCAUUAAAAAGGAUUGUCGGCACAGCAUAGGGUGUAGUCAUUUUAGGUGGUUUACUUAGUGGAAAACAAAUCUAUUUCAUAUGCAAAAGAAGUAUAUUAUUUUUCAUUAUUUAUUGAUUGUUAGUUUAUGAGUUGAUAGGAUUUCAACUUUUUGGUAGUAGUCUAAUUUUACCAUCAGAUACGAAUUGAUGACAAUGUUUUUCCUUUUAUGUGGCCUGAUUUACAUAUUUGAUUUUGAUUUUGGUCAUUCGACCGUACGCAUUAUUAUGAAUACACACGUAGAUUAGCACCUCGUGUAGGGCAAAAACCGUAACUCUAUUAGUGAAUAAAUGUUGUACCGCUAAAACUUUGCUUUUAGAAGCCUAUGUAUGUCUUCACCAUUAGAAAUAUUGAUUAAAGGAAAAGACAUUCACAUUCUUAUAGCAAAAUUAUAAAAGCAAAAGACAACAUACAAGUUAUAGUACUUUGGGACUAUUGUUUGCAACAAUCCCAUGCUAGACGUACUAAAACCAAAACGUUACAUAUGAUAAGCUCUCUAGCCAAACAAACAUACCCUACCCUAACCCUAAACCAAAACCCAAACAAGCACCCAAAAAGCAAGCCCAAGUGUCAUCCUUCCCAAUCCUCCAAACCCAUUUCUCCAAGACCCAGAAAACCAAACCCGGACAUCAUCCACCACAGGCCCACAUAGCGAGCUCAUGUCGUCAGUCCUGGUGUUAUAAUACACACUGUAGAAUGCAAUCCUUGUCCUCUCAGCUCUGGCCGUGAAAUUCACAUUGGCACUUUGGAAUGUGCUGUUGGAAUUAGGGGUAUAAUGGACAUUUUGGGCUUGGUCACCAGCAAAGGCCAUGACAGCAAGAGGCUGCUUGCAUUUGUCAUUAGCAUGGCCUAAAGAGAAGGUUAGGGUGUAUGGCUUGUUGGGGGAAGUUUCAACCAUUUGGGAAAUAAUGCCUUCCUUCCCAGAUAGCAAUUCAAUGGCUCGCUUGCCUUGCGGCACAGUAAAAUGGUAGGAGUCGAUGUACCUAACAGCACGGUUGGACUCAACGAUCCAACCGGGUAACGAGGAUGUUUCUUCGUCGAGGUUGGUGGGAAGCAGCACCCCUAGCGAGAUGUUUGCGAACAUCCAUGGACCUUCCUCAAAAUCACCAUUGAUCACUGCGUUGUCUGCACAAAAUAUGGCAAAUACUCACUUUUUAGUAACAUGAAAUCGUAUAGCAUUUUUUGUGUGUACCUUCGGCCGAGUUUCAAAACCCAACAUUGAUUUAUGUUACUUAGUUAGAAUGUGAAUCUAAAUCAUAUAUUUAUAUAAUAAUUUAAUUAUUAAUGAAAUUGAGAAGGCUCCAUACCCUAAACUUGAAGUCCAUAAAUAGUAACUCUUUAGUUGGGGACAAUUUAUAAAUCCUUAUUUCUUUGAUUAGGUGGUCAAAGGUCAAAAGCGUCAAAUAAUUUUACCCACUCAUAGAAAAUUAGUACUUCACCUAAUUAAGUAAUGGGCCCAUAGGGUUUGAAUUGAAGAAGUCAAGACAAGUGAGAGGAAAAUAAUUUUUACCUUUGGGCCUAUCAGGGGUAAAGAGCUUCUUGAUAGCAACAUCAUCAAUGAUGGGCCCACAGGUGGGGUCAUCUUCCAUGCCGGGAUUCCUGAAGACCAACAUCGCAUCAUCCUCCUCAGCCGCGAAAGCCCACGCGUAAGGGUCCCACCCUUGCACGUUGUACAAGG